GGCCUCCCAAAGUGCUGGGAUUACAGGCAUGAGCCACCACGCCCGGCCGACACAUUUUUAAUAGAACCAAGGAGAGCUUGCUUUUUGAGAGAGGGCAGCUGAGAGAGGGGGCCUAAGAGAAUCACAUCCUAGUUCCAGUAGGAUGUCCUCUAGGCCACCAGGCUGGUUUAAUGGCCAAGGUGCUUCCAGAGAGAGGAAGCCCUGGGGAAGGAUGAUAGAGAGUACAGAAAACAGGGAGUACACAAUGGCUGCAUGACCGAGUUCAGGCCCUGGGAAGGUAUGAAAGCUGGAUCCUACCUGUGCUGGCAGACCUGGAGUUGUUGCCACAGAGGGCCGAUAAGAUUGUGAGUACAGGACUACUGAGGGCUACUGAAGGAUCGCAAAGAAGUGUUUGCACUGGCCGAGUGCAGUAGCUCAUGCUUGUAAUCCUAGCACUUCAGGAGGCCAAGGCAGGCGGAUCACUUGAGUCCAGGAGUUCAUGAUCAGCUUGGGCAACAUAGCAAGACCCUGUCUCUAUAUACACACACACACAACACACACACACACACACACACACACACACACUCUUACACUUAGCCAGGUGUGGCGGCAUGUGCCUAUAGUCACAGCUACUCAGGAGGUUAAGCUCCUCCUCAGCUACUCAGGGGGUUUCACCAUGUUGGCCAGGGUGGUCUUGAACUCCUAAUCUCAAGUGAUCCGCAUGCCUCGGCCUCCCAAAGUUCUGGGAUUACAGGCGUGAGCCACCCUGCCCACCCAGAAUGAACUUUCAAAAGGGAACAAGGAUUAGAGAAGGGAGUGACACUGAAUAGAACCAGAGAGAAGGGGCUUGGGGGCAGGAAGUUGAGAGCUCACACCUAAGUUUCCAUUUCCUCUGAGGUGGGAGGCAAAGUCAACAGUGUGGGGGUUGAGGUGGGAGGGGUCCGGCUUGAGCAGAGCAGUGCAAUAGCACGCACCAACUCCUCCACCUUCCAGCCCAGUCCCCAUCCCCCAUUCCCAUGGCGCUUUCUUCACAAUUUUAGUUGGUGGAGCCUCUCUCGUGAGGCCAUCCUUUCUCCUUGCCUACCGCAUCCCAAGAAGAACUCAGCUACGUGAAGGGAUGUCACUACCCCCUGCAAUAUGUAUAUGUGAAAUAUGUUGGGCGCGGUGGCUCAUGCCUGUAAUCCCAGCACUUUGGGAGGCCGAGGCAGGCAGAUCAUGAGGUCAGGAGUUCAAGACCAGCCUGGCCAACAUGGUGAAACCCCGUCUCUACUAAAAUACAAAAAUUAGCCAGGCAUGGUGGUGUGCACCUGUAAUCUCAGCUACUUGGGAGGCUGAGGCAGGAGAAUUGCUUGACACUGGGAGGCGGAGGUUGUGGUGAGCCGAGAUCACGCCACUGCACUCCAGCCUGGGCAACAGAGCUAGACUCCUUCUCCAAACAAAAUUUUAAAAAUGAAAAAUAAGUUGGGCAUGGUGGCACGCGCCUGUGGCCCCAGCUACAUGGGAGGUUGAAGUGGGAGGAUUGUUGGAGCCCAGGAAGUUGAGGCUGUAGUGAGCUGCAGUCACGCCACUGCACUGCAGCCUGGGUGACAGAGCCAAAUCUUGUCUCAAAAAAAAAAAAAAUGCAUUGAGCACAGUGGCUCACACCUGUAAUCUCAACAGUUUUGGAGGCUGAGGCAGGAGGAUCACUGAAGGCCAGGAGUUAGCAACCAGCCUGGGCAACACAGCAAGACCUUGUCUCUACAAAAAAAAUUAAAAAUUUGCCAGGCAAGGUGGUGCAUGCCUAUAGUCCCAGCUACUCAAGAAGCUUAGGUGAGAGGAUUGCUUGAGCCCAGGGAUUCGAGGCUACAUUGGGCCAUGAAUGUGCCACUGCACUCCAGCCUGAGUGACAGAGUAAGACCCUGUCUCAAAAAAAAAAGAAAAAACAGUGAAAUGCAUUUUUCUUCCAACUGAGCCUGUGACAGUGACAGUUGUCUCUUGGUGUAUUUGUUCUUUUUAUUUGUUUGUUCCUUGUCUGUCUCCCACACUGAUGGGCAAGCAGCAUAAGAGCAGAGGCUUUGCCUGUAAUUACCACUGUGUUUCUAGCGCCUAGAACAUCACCUGGGGCAGGACAUACCAUACAUAUCUGUGAAUAUACGAAAGAAUGGAUGAUGCCCCAGUCUCUUUCCCCUGCUAUAGAUGGACCUCCCACCCGAGAAUGCAGGCAGAAGUCACUUUGGGUCCAGUAACUGAAAUUACUGUGCUGUGCAGUCUAAUUCCAAAGCCUCAUCUGGACACGCGACCCUGGGCAGGCUCCCCGUCCUGCGCUGGCCAUUGGCUACUGGGGCCAAGAGGCUGGCUGGGAAGCAGUGGCAAUCCAAUGCUGGGGAGGUGGAGUUCCAGCUUCCCCUUUGUUUCUCCCCAUUCCUCUAGUUGUCCAUGACAUUUUCAAGGAACAUGAGUGAGCCUGUUGCAGUUCUGGGUGGUUUCAGUGGAAAGGAUUUGGCAAGACCUUCCACAGUGAAGAGGGCGUGUGAGUGGGAGAGCAACUGAAGGCAGUCAACACAUCAGCUUCACUUUCAUUUCUCCAAAGGGCAUUUCCAGGGUGUCAGGGACAGAAAUCACAUUUUCCUUCACCAGGAAUUUCUGAGACUGUGGGUUUAUUUAGCUUUUUUUUUUUUUUUUUUUUUUUUUUUGAGACAGAGUCUUGCUCUGUUGCCCAGGCUGGAGUGCAGUGGCGCGACCUUGGCUCACUGCAACCUCCAUCUCCCCGGUUCAAGCAAUUCUCCUGUCUUAGCCUCCCAAGUAGCUGGGACUACAGUCGCACGCCACCAUGCCCGGCUAAUUUUUAUAUUUUUAGUAGAGAUGGCGUUUCACACCAUAUUGGUCAGGCUGGUCUUGAACUCCUGACUUCAGGUGAUCCACCCGCCUUGGCCUCCCAAAGUGCUGGGAUUACAGGCAUGAGCCACUGCGUCCGGCGUAUUUAGCAUUUUUAAAAGAAGAUCUUCAGUAAGAAAUAUGGUUUACGUUGUGAUAGUUAUUCACGUAUUCACAUAAAUGAAGCGCUGAAGGGCCCUAGGCUGGCCAUCAAGGGAACAAGUUCCCCUCCCCUCCCCUUCCCCCAUCUCCUUUCUCCCCUCUUCUCCUUUCUCCUCUCUGCUCCUCUCCUCUCCACUCCUCUCCUCUCCGGUCCUCUCCUCUCUCCUUUCUCCUCUCCUCUUCUCUCCUUUCUUCUCUCCUCUCCUUUUUCUCCUCUCCUUUCCCUUCUUUUCCUUUUUGUAGAGACAAAAAAAUGUUGUAGACACACAAAAAAUGUUGCCUAGGCUGGUUUCAAACUCUGGGCCCCAAGUGAUCCUCCGCCCCAGCCUCCCAAAGUACCAGGAUUACAGGCAUGAGCCACUGCACCUGGCCAGAGGGAAUAGGUUUCCUGUUCCCACUUAGCUGUUGCACUUGGAAUAAGAUGCUUAACGUCUCCUUGCAGGCUUCUGAAAAGCUUCCAAGAGAUGUUGCAUGCAAAAGAGCUCUGUGUGCAGAAGAUCACCAAGCAUGAGGCAUUAUUAAGGGCAAACCAACCAAGUUCUAUUUACAAUAGCAAGUGUCUUCUAAGAAGGGCAGCUACCGACCAGGAGAGUCCCCUAUUCUCCCUGCAGAGGAUCUGCAGAUCUGCAAAGCUGGCUGGGUUAGGAAUGAAGUUUGCUGGUAGGAACUGGGGAAUGUUGAAUUCCUCUGGGUUAUAGAAGGGGAGAAUUUGGAGUUCUGGGAGGGAAGGUGAUGAGAAGAAGGGAUGGAAAGAUGAAAAGGGAAGCCAGCAGGAUGGUGCAAAGGUGGGAGUGAACCCGAGGGCUAGAUUAGGCCUGCAGAACUUAACCUACCUUACUUGAUUUUAGUCACUUGCUUCUAGUUGAUCUUAAAACCUAUAUAGCUACUGGGGGCAGUGGCUCACACUUGUAAUCCCAGCACUUUGGGAGGCCGAGGCUGGAGGAUCACUUGAGCCCAGGAGUUCAAGACCAGCCUAGGCAACACAGCGAGACUUUCUCUCUACUGAAAAUAAAAACAAAACAAAACAAAACAAAACAAAACCAGAUGUGGCGGCAUGUGCCUGUAGUCCCAGAUACUCAGGAGGCUGAGGUGGGAGGAUGGCUUGACUCUAGGAGAUUGAGGCUGCAGUGAGCUGUGAUUACCAUCAGUGCACUCUAGCCUGGGUUAUAGAGUGAGACCCUGUCUUUAAAAAAGAAAAAAGCCUAUAGAGCUAAAAGUCAUGUAGCUAAGCAAUAUUUAACUGGACUUCCACUAGCUUCCUGCUGGAUAACAUCUCUGACAUAUAGGUCAUCAUAGUAAUGGUUGUUUAAGUUGUUUUUCAAGGGCUGGGCACGGUGGCUCACGCCUGUAAUCCCAGCACUUUGGGAGGCCAAGGUAGGCAGAUCACCUGAAGUCAGGAGUUCGAGACCAGCCUGGCCAAGAUGGUGAAACCCCGUCUCUACUAAAAAUACAGAAAUUAGCCUGGUGUGGUGGCAGGCGCCUGUAAUCCCAGCCACUCGGAAGGCUGAGGGAGAAUCAUUUGAACCCAGGAGGUAGAGGUUGCAGUGAGCCUCCAGGAUCACGCCAUUGCACUCCAGCCUGAGUGACGAGAGUGAAACUCCAUCUCAAAAAAAAAAAAAGAAAAGAAAAAAAGUUGUUUUUCAGGAACUUGGGGUCAGCUCUUAUCCAGUUCAAGCCACUUAUGACCAUCAAUCCUUCAACUUGGUCUGUGUGAGUGUCCAGUAGGUGACGUUUGAUGUCAGAGCGCCAAAAACUCCAUCUUCCAUCAUGCUAAUGCCACCAUUUUGUGAACCUGCAUCCUAUGAAGAACGAUGAAGCUUGACUAGGCUUGCACAGAUUGCCGAUGUCCUACUUUUCCCUCCAAUCACCUUCCCCACACCUUAGGCCACCUGCUUCUUUGUCCCAUAAACGUCUCUAAACCCCAUCUUCGAGGAAGUGGGUUUGAGACCUGUUUUCCCAUCUCCUCACUUGGCUGCCUCAUGAAUAAAUGCAUUCUGUGCUGCAAAACUGGUCAUCUUGGCGGGACGCGGUGGCUCACGCCUGUAAUCCCAGCACUUUGGGAGGCUGAGGCGGGCGGAUCACGAGGUCAGGAGAUCAAGACCAUCCUGGCUAACACAAUGAAACCCUGUCUCUACUUAAAAAAUACAAAAAAUUAGCCAGGCAUGGUGGCAGGCGCCUGUAGUCCCAGCUACUCGGGAGGCUGAGGCAGGAGAAUGGCGUGAACCCGGGAGGCGGAGCUUGCAGUGAGCCGAGAUUGCGCCACUGCACUCCAGCCUGGGCGACAGAGCGAGACUCCGUCUCAAAAACAAAAAAAAAAAACUGGUCACCUCAGUGAUUGGCUUACUGUGCGAUGAGCAGAAUGGGCCUCAUUUGGUAUCAAGAGGAGGAGCUGAUAGAAAAUGCUCAGGGAUGGGCUGGCAAAGACAUUUUCAGAGCAGCGCCGUGUUAUGUUCUGUGUGCAGUUGUUUGCGCUGAUGCGUUACAAGCCCCUCUGGUGGUCCCCCGCUGAGUCUUUGGUAAAGUCUGCUGCAUCUGCCAAUUCUUUUGUGAGCAGAUUUGUUCUAGGGGUGUGGGGGACUAAGAAAGGGGUGGAAUAUAAACAGUGCAGUGUAAACAGUGCAGUAUAAACAGUGCAGUAUAAACAGUAUAAACAGUGCAAACAGUGCAGUGUAAACAGCGCAGUGUAAACAGUUUUACCCACAGAGGCUGCAGGCCCAUUGCUGACCAUGGAAAAAGAGGUGGGCUCCUCGGGAGUCCACAGAAGUCCUGGGGAGGGCUUUGGACUUCGGCAGGCCUGGAAUGAGGGUUCGAACUAAUCUCAGUCUAGAUCUCGAGGGUCUGAGAGGCUGUAGAGAACAUUUAGGCCGGUUGGCAUGAGCAGUUCUUGCCCCAGUUCACCUCUAAUUCCCCGACUGUUGCUGUUCAUGCUAAGUGAGGCCUUGUUCCCACUCGUUCUUCUUCUUUUUUUUUUUUUGAGAUGGCGUCUUGCUCUGUCACCCAGGCUAGACUCCACUGGUGCAAUCUCAGCUCACUGCAACCUCUACUUCCUGGUUCAAGCUAUUCUCCUGUGUCAGCCUCCUGAGUAGCUGGGAUUACCGACACGCACCACCAUACCCGGCUAAUUUUUGUGUAUUUUUAGUAGAGAUGGGGUUUUGCCAUGUUGGCCUGGCUGGUCUCAAACUCCUGACCUCAAGUGAUCCACCUGCCUCGGCCUCCCAAAGUGCUGGGAUUACAGGCGUGAGCCACUGAGCCUCGCUCCACUUGUCCUUCUCACUGAUGUCAGCACCAGAAAUGGCCAUGUGGAUAGUCACUGGCAACUUAAAACCCAAGUGUGCAUGGGGAAGUGCACGGCAGGGUCAUUAAAAGGAGUCCAGCCUCUCUUCUUCCCUUCUCUAUACUUUCACUUCUGGAAAAGACCGGAAACCUUGCCUCAUUCCUCUUUCUCCCAUGGCCCCAUCCCCACCCCGCUUCAGCCCAUCAGCCUCCAAAUGUAGUCCAAGUCCUCAUCUCUGUACCUGGACCAUUGCAUUUUCGCUGGCCCCUAGCCCCCACUGGGCUCCCCACUGGCUGCCAAAUACCAGUGUGACCCUGUCCCUUCCUUGCUUUAAGCCUCUCAGUAGUUUGUUUGUUUGUUUUUGAGAUGGAGUCUUGCUCUGUCACCAGGCUGGAGUGCAGUGACAUAAUCUUGGCUCACUGCAACCUCCACCUCCCGGGCUCAAACGAUUCUCCUGCCUCAGCUUCCCGAGUAGCUGGGGCUAUAGGCGCCCACCACCAUGCCCAGCUAAUUUUUGUAUUUGUAGUAGAGACAGGGUUUCACCAUGUUGGCCAGGCUGGUCUUGAUCUCUUGACCUUGUGAUCUGCCCACCUUGGCCUCCCAAAGUGCUGGGAUUAGAGGCGUGAGCCACCAUGCCCCGCCUGCCUCUCAGUAGUUAUUUACCACUGAAGCAGAGUGAAGCCUGUGCUCCACAUUGCUUCAUGGCCAAGACCUCAGGGACAAGUGGACACACCAGGCAGUGGGAGUGGAUAUGGCAAAGCCAAACCCAGAUCUCUUCUCAAAAUAAUUUUCCAGAGGGCAAAAGCAGAUGGCUACACCGAGAACUCACGCCAGCCCAACACACUUUGAUCUCGAGGCCUCUGGAAGGGAAGGUGCCUAAUGAACUACUGAAAGCCAGAGAUGCAAUGACAAAGGUACCAAGACUGGAGGUGAUCCAGGUCUUUCAUCCAAGAGCCCCAAGACGUAGCCUAAAUUCAUGCUACGGUAAUCCCAGCACUUUGGGAGGCCGAGGCGGGCGGAUCACCUGAGGUCAGGAGUUCGAGAGCAGCCUGGCCAACAUGGUGAAACUCCGUCUCUACUAAAAAUACAGAAAUUAGCCAGGUGUGGUGGCGGGUGCCUGUAAUCCCAGCUACUCAGGAGGCUGAGGCAGGAGAAUCGCUUGAACCCGGGAGGCGGUGGUUGCAGUGAGCCGAGAUCACGUCACUGCACUCCAGCCUGGGCGACAAGAGCGAAACUCCAUCUCAAAAUAAAAUAAAAAUAAAUAAAUUGACACAGUCAGUGCCUCGCUCCCACCCCCACCUCCAGCAUAGCACCAUGACAGUCUUCUCACAUAACAAGUCCCAAAACACACCAUCGGCAUCCAGAAAGUGAGAGUAACUCGUUACAGUUGAGACCUCUCACUCCCGGUCAUUAUCUCAUUUCAAUCCAAGAGGUAGACUUCUUCAUCGCCCCUGACAUACACAUGAGGAAAAGGCCCAGAGAGGUGAAGUGAUGCCUCAGGUCACUCAGCCAGUUACCAGUAGAGCAGAUCCUUCAAUGCAAGUUUUUCUCCAACCCUACACAGCAGUCGUACCAGGGCCCCAGGCUGCAAUCCCCUGGCCCAGUGCUGAUCGGUGGCUCCCAGGGACACGCCCUGAUGCCAGCGCUGGCAGAUGUCUGCUGUGAAGAGAGCAGGAAACUGUCCCUUGGAAAGCUGAGAUGCUUACCUGAACUGUGAAAGUAUCCAUAUGUGAGCAGCUAAGGAGACAGCAGUGGCUGGAGUGCUGCAGCUCAGGCACAGCUGGUGAGAGGCAUUCCUCACUCACAGGCCUUCACCCACUGCUAGAGACAGUGAGCCCCAUCCUGACCACUUCCCCUUUCUAGUCAGCCCACGGGGCAGAGACCCUGGCGUCAUCUCUAGGCAACCAUCCCUUUUCCAGGGAAGCUCAUGACCCACGGCUGUCCAGAAGCCAGAAUCUUCUCACUGCCCCGUGUCGCUCCCGCAAGGCCUACCAGAGGACCCUCAUGGUGUGGUAGGGGGUCCUGGCAGGGGCCAGGGGCCAGGGUGGAGACUUGGCAGUGGGGGUGGGUUUGGUGUCCCCACAGACGAGUUUGCCGUGAGCAUUCCUGGAUGUGGCAACCUCAGUCUCAAGAAGAGCGACAGGACGCCAGCUCCCAUGCAGAGACAGAUCCAGGUAAGAAACCAGCUCAUGUGUGACAAACUCACCAUCUCACCAUGAAGGUGACUCUUGAAAGCUCCUGUGCACCUUGGAACUGCUGAGACAUCUUCUGCUUGGAGGAGGCAAGGGACAGGCUUCCUGUUUCUAAAGGCGUGUGAGUGGCGACCUUGAGAAAUGUGGCCAGUGGAGCAUUUUGACUGAGUUGGGUCCCCUCGUGCAAUACUGUGAGACAGAACUCCCAGCGAGGCCCACGGCCUCUGACCAUGGGGGUUGGAGUGGGGAAACCAAUUAGCCAUUUUGUUGAAUUGGCUGGUUCUGACUCAAAUGAGCAGUCACAUUAGUAAAAAUAGGCAAACGGAUGUGCAUUGUAUUUGCCCAGAGCGAAUGAGUUGUUAUCCAUUUCAGUAAUAAUGAUAACCAGAUAUGUCUGAUAAAUAUCUGAUAAUGU
rnacentral:lncRNA from 1 species